UGAGGAAUAUUGGUCAAUGGGCGAGAGCCUGAACCAGCCAAGUAGCGUGCAGGAUGACGGCCCUAUGGGUUGUAAACUGCUUUUAUAUGGGAAUAAAGUGAGGGACGUGUCCCUUAUUGCAUGUACCAUAUGAAUAAGGACCGGCUAAUUCCGUGCCAGCAGCCGCGGUAAUACGGAAGGUCCAGGCGUUAUCCGGAUUUACUGGGCGUAAAGGGUGCGUAGGUGGUCUUUCAAGUCGGUGGUUAAAGGCUACGGCUCAACCGUAGUUAGCCUCCGAAACUGGAAGACUUGAGUGCAGGAGAGGAAAGUGGAAUUCCCAGUGUAGCGGUGAAAUGCGUAGAUAUUGGGAGGAACACCAGUAGCGAAGGCGGCUUUCUGGACUGCAACUGACACUGAGGCACGAAAGCGUGGGGAGCAAACAGG
rnacentral:rRNA from 1 species